GUGGUGGCUGCGCUUGCGAGGACCCUGAGGUAGAUUGGGUGGUUUCAACAGGAACGCAUCCACUGUCUGAGAGGUGGCAAUUGAAGCCGGAAGAACAUCUACCAAGAGCAGAGAACCCAGGAAGAAAAUUCUGCCUCUUUAAUACGUUCCAAUAUGGACGUUUUCCAUAUAGAUACCUAUCUAUAUAGAUAGAUGCUCUGGGAUCUGACGGUCCUGGACACC
rnacentral:lncRNA from 1 species